UAAACAUAGACAGUUCACACACUCCACUGUCCGCCCGGGAACUACGAGCAUUAGCUUAAAACCCAAAGGACUUGGCGGUGCUUUAUACCCCCCUAGAGGAGCCUGUUCUAGAACCGAUAAUCCCCGUUCAACCUCACCCUUCCUUGUUCUUUCCGCCUAUAUACCGCCGUCGUCAGCCUACCCUGUGAAGGCCUUAUAGUAAGCAAAAUCGGCACAGCCCAAAACGUCAGGUCGAGGUGUAGCGUAUGGAAGGGGAAGAAAUGGGCUACAUUCCCUAUUACAGGGCAUACGAAUGAUUUCGCUGAAACGCAUAUAUGAAGGAGGAUUUAGCAGUAAGCAGGAAGUAGAGUGUCCUGCUUGAACCGGC
rnacentral:rRNA from 1 species